rnacentral:rRNA from 1 species
UACGGAGGGUGCGAGCGUUGUCCGGAAUCACUGGGCGUAAAGGGCGCGUAGGCGGCCUGAUAAGUAGGGGGUGAAAUCCUGCGGCUUAACCGCAGGGCUGCCUUCUAAACUGUCAGGCUCGAGCACAGUAGAGGCAGGUGGAAUUCCCGGUGUAGCGGUGGAAUGCGCAGAUAUCAGGAGGAACACCGGUGGCGAAGGCGGGUCUCUGGGCCGAUACUGACGCUGAGGAGCGAAAGCGUGGGGAGCGAACAGG